rnacentral:rRNA from 1 species
CUUGCGCCGGGGAUUAGUGGCGAACGGGUGAGUAACACGUGAGUAACCUGCCCUUGACUCUGGGAUAAGCCUGGGAAACUGGGUCUAAUACCGGAUAUGACUCCUCAUCGCAUGGUGGGGGGUGGAAAGCUUUUGUGGUUUUGGAUGGACUCGCGGCCUAUCAGCUUGUUGGUGAGGUAAUGGCUCACCAAGGCGACGACGGGUAGCCGGCCUGAGAGGGUGACCGGCCACACUGGGACUGAGACACGGCCCAGACUCCUACGGGAGGCAGCAGUGGGGAAUAUUGCACAAUGGGCGCAAGCCUGAUGCAGCGACGCCGCGUGAGGGAUGACGGCCUUCGGGUUGUAAACCUCUUUCAGUAGGGAAGAAGCGAAAGUGACGGUACCUGCAGAAGAAGCGCCGGCUAACUACGUGCCAGCAGCCGCGGUAAUACGUAGGGCGCAAGCGUUAUCCGGAAUUAUUGGGCGUAAAGAGCUCGUAGGCGGUUUGUCGCGUCUGCCGUGAAAGUCCGGGGCUCAACUCCGGAUCUGCGGUGGGUACGGGCAGGCUAGAGUGAUGUAGGGGAGACUGGAAUUCCUGGUGUAGCGGUGAAAUGCGCAGAUAUCAGAGGAACACCGAUGGCGAAGGCAGGUCUCUGGGCAUUAACUGACGCUGAGGAGCGAAAGCAUGG